rnacentral:tRNA from 1 species
UCCCUGGAGGAAUAUUGGUUAUGCCUUGGUGCUCUCACCACCAUGGCCUGGGUUCAAUUCCCAGGCAGGGAA